rnacentral:rRNA from 1 species
UGACCAGACUCCUACGGGAGGCAGCAGUGGGGAAUAUUGCACAAUGGGGGAAACCCUGAUGCAGCGACGCCGCGUGAGUGAAGAAGUAUCUCGGUAUGUAAAGCUCUAUCAGCAGGGAAGAAAAUGACGGUACCUGACUAAGAAGCCCCGGCUAACUACGUGCCAGCAGCCGCGGUAAUACGUAGGGGGCAAGCGUUAUUCGGAUUUACUGGGUGUAAAGGGAGCGUAGGCGGCGAUGCAAGUCUGAAGUGAAAGGUGGGGGCCCAACCCCCGGACUGCUUUGGAAACUGUAUGGCUGGAGUGCAGGAGAGGUAAGUGGAAUUCCUAGUGUAGCGGUGAAAUGCGUAGAUAUUAGGAGGAACACCAGUGGCGAAGGCGGCUUACUGGACUGUAACUGACGUUGAGGCUCGAAAGCGUGGGGAGCAAACAGGAUUAGAUACCCCCGUA